CACGUAGGGGGCAAGCGUUGUCCGGAUUAUUGGGCGUUAAAGAGCUCGUAGGCGGCUCGGUAAGUCGGGUGUGAAACCUCCAGGCUCAACCUGGAGACGCCACUCGAUACUGCCGUGGCUAGAGUCCGGUAGAGGAGCGAGAAUUCCUGGUGUAGCGGUGAAAUGCGCGAUAUCAGGAGGAACACCGAUGGCGAAGGCAGCUCGCUGGGACGGUACUGACGCUGAACAGCGAAAGCCAGGGGAGCAAACGGG
rnacentral:rRNA from 1 species